rnacentral:miRNA from 1 species
UUUUUGCUAAUUCUAUAAUGUGUGUGUGUGUGUGUGUGUGUGUGUAUAUAUAUAUAUAUAUAUAUAAAGUAGAACUAUGUAAACAUGUAU